ensembl:miRNA
GAGGUGGGAGGAUCACUCGAGCCCAGGAGGUUGAGGCUGCAGUGAGCUGCGAUCAUGCCAUUGCACUCCAGCCUGAGUGACAGAGCAAGACCGUGUCUC